rnacentral:rRNA from 1 species
GACGAACGCUGGCGGCGUGCCUAAUACAUGCAAGUCGAACGAACCGCGACUGAGUGCUUGCACUUGGUCAAGGUGAGUGGCGAACGGGUGAGUAACACGUGGGUAACCUACCUCAUAGUGGUGGAUAACAGUCGGAAACGACUGCUAAUACCGCAUAGGACAUGGAAUCACAUCAUUCUGUGAGGAAAGGUGGCGCAAGCUAUCGCUAAGAGAUGGACCCGCGGUGCAUUAGCUAGUUGGUAGGGUAAGGGCCUACCAAGGCGAUGAUGCAUAGCCGACCUGAGAGGGUGAUCGGCCACAUUGGGACUGAGACACGGCCCAGACUCCUACGGGAGGCAGCAGUAGGGAAUCUUCCGCAAAGGACGAAAGUCUGACGGAGCAACGCCGCGUGAGUGAAGAAGGUCUUCGGAUCGUAAAGCUCUGUUGUUAGAGAAGAACAGAGCAUAGAGUAACUGUUAUGCGUGUGACGGUAUCUAACCAGAAAGCCACGGCUAACUACGUG